AGAGCAAACUGCAAACGCUUAGGACGACGGCAGCUGUCUGUCUUCAAGGUACCAAAGAAUAUGCAACAACGAUGGAGCGAAGUCCUUGGACAGUGUCUCGACUGAUCAUCUCUGCAUCCUGUGGUGUAACCAAUUGGUCCAGAUGAACCUUUGGGCGCUUUUUGACUGUGUGGCUAC